rnacentral:rRNA from 1 species
AUGGAGAGUAGAAUCGGGGAGAGAGGGAGUGUGGGCGUGGAGAGGAGAGAGGGAGUGUGCUGCACGUGGGUGGGCCUGGAGAAGAGAAAGGGGGAGAGAGAGGCUAGCAAGUGGGCCGCGCUCGCCUCACGCCGCUGGCGCGACAUAGCCUCAAGCUCCCCCUUCCUGCGCCGCUUUCGCGAGCUCCACCCCCGGUCACCCAUCCUCGGCCUCUUCGCCUCGCAGCCAGACCUCCAGCAGCUCCCCAUCUUCCACCCCGCGGCCGCCGUCCGCUCCGACCCGGACCUCGUAGCCGCCGCGCGCGGGGGCGACUUCCUGCUCACCCGCCUCGAGGACGAGACGGCGUGGCGCUUCCGGGACUGCCGCAACGGGUGCCUCCUCCUCUGCAGAGGCGACUCCAUCUCCCUCUACGACCCCGUCUCCCACCGGCACGUCGCCGUGCCCCGUCCACGGAACGACGAACCACUCCUCCCAGUACUACCACCCGGAGCAGCGGAGUACAUAUGGGACUGCUUGCUGGACGGCCAUGGAGAAUUCCGCGUGGUCACCGUGCAGCGAGAGGGCCAAAGGUUGCGCGGCAUGGAGUACGCCUCCCGCACGGCCGAGUGGCGCAUCCACCCGUGGGUGGACGGCAUCCGCAUGCCUGCACAUGCGCAGAGCAUGUGA